rnacentral:rRNA from 1 species
GACGAACGCUGGCGGCGUGCUUAACACAUGCAAGUCGAACGGAAAGGCCCUGCUUUUGUGGGGUGCUCGAGUGGCGAACGGGUGAAUAACACGUGAGUAACCUGCCCUUGACUUUGGGAUAACUUCAGGAAACUGGGGCUAAUACCGGAUAGGAGCUCCUGCUGCAUGGUGGGGGUUGGAAAGUUUCGGCGGUUGGGGAUGGACUCGCGGCUUAUCAGCUUGUUGGUGGGGUAGUGGCUUACCAAGGCUUUGACGGGUAGCCGGCCUGAGAGGGUGACCGGCCACAUUGGGACUGAGAUACGGCCCAGACUCCUACGGGAGGCAGCAGUGGGGAAUAUUGCACAAUGGGCGGAAGCCUGAUGCAGCAACGCCGCGUGCGGGAUGACGGCCUUCGGGUUGUAAACCGCUUUCGCCUGUGACGAAGCGUGAGUGACGGUAAUGGGUAAAGAAACACCGGCUAACUACGUG